rnacentral:rRNA from 1 species
UACAGGGGGUGCAAACGUUGCUCGGAAUCAUUGGGCGUAAAGCGCACGUAGGCGGUCUGUUAUGUCGGAUGUGAAAGCCCUCGGCUCAACUGAGGAAGUGCAUCCGAAACUGGCAGGCUAGAGUACUAAAGAGGGUCGCGGAAUUCCCGGUGUAGAGGUGAAAUUCGUAGAUAUCGGGAGGAACACCGGUGGCGAAGGCGGCGUCCUGGGUAGAUACUGACGCUGAGGUGCGAAAGCGUGGGGAGCAAACAGG